rnacentral:misc_RNA from 1 species
ACAGAAAAUAUUAAUACAGAUGAAGACCCAAGUGGCUGGCGCCCGUAUCAUAUGUUUGUUGACAGCUUGCGUGAAAAGUAUGCUAAAAAUGAUGGUUUGCAAGAUGAGAAAGAAGAAAAUUCUACUAGACGUAGGGGUCGGCCCCCCAAAAAACAUACCAUACAGGGAAAGAGACUUUUUGAUGAGCAAAGUGCAAGUGAAGACGAGGA